rnacentral:misc_RNA from 1 species
GACAUAAGAAUGGAGAGAGAAGAAGAAAAUGGAAAAGGAAAGGGAGACUGGAGGAGGUGAUUACUGAUGUCCUUUAGCGUUGUGUAUUUUCUUUCUUAAAAUAGAGAAGAAAAAAGAUGUGAUGAGAAUUGUUAAUUCCUGGUUUAGUUCCUUCUCCCUUUUCCUCAUCUUCUUUAUGUUUCUUCUGAUAUCUCUUAGUUGUGCUCUUCUUUUGCUCA